AUACAAAGUUGAUUUAGAAGAACACAGCUUCAAAAAGCGUAUGAAGUUGCAUAUAUCUAACGUUUCGCCUUCAGACUUUGGAAUCUACAAAUGCGUAGCCAAAAAUUCUUUAGGAGAAGCAGACGGCAGUAUUAAAAUUUACCCCCUGCCAUUGCCGACCACUACAUCAGCAAGCACUACCCCAACAAGGCCCAUGGAAAACGUGAUUAUAAUAG